rfam:Sclerotinia sclerotiorum 1980 scaffold_15 genomic scaffold, whole genome shotgun sequence.
UCCGAAUUAGUGUAGGGGUUAACAUAACUCGCUUUCAUACACAGGAACCGAGUAGCCCCGGGUUCGAUUCCCGGAUUCGGAA